UUCUUCGUGACCCAGAAUCAACGUGUCAGUAAAUCCUACUGGUUCAGUUCUAGUUCUUGCUCCGUCUCGGCCUCUUUAAACAACUUGUUCACACUCACCGCCUCAGCAGCAACGUCUUUAUUGUUCAUGAACAGCGGAAUACAAGCCGACUACAACGAAAAGAGAUCCAUCAGUCAGACAGGUGGAGAUUCAGGGCAGCAUGGAUUGAAACAAGGAUUUAAGGCUAAUGAAAGUUACCUGUACAGGUGUCAUGAAGACUGCAGCUGCAGAGGAAUCACCAUCUCAGCCUGGAUUUGAGUCAGAGAUGUUAAUAUUAAAAGUGAGCAAAAAAGCCUUGGAAACUGGCACAGACAAUCAUCAUAUUGGAGACAGUGAUCCAGCUGGUCCUCAGAUCCCCGUCCUGGAUUUCACUAAAUCCAGUCCAGGACUGAAGAGGAGGAAGAGAGACUGGG